CGGAUGCUGACGAAGUUCGGAAUAGGGUCGUCCGCGGCCGGAAGAAGUCCGGAAGGGAUUCGGAGAGUAAUUGAUUACUGUAGAAGGUCGGCUGGCAGUGAGGCCCAGAGAGCUUUUGGGACGGCCCGGUAGGUGAAUGUAGAAGUUCAUUAUCGAAAAAGUCCGGACGGUCGAGGGGGUUCGGAGAGACGCCACACACAAAGUCGGA
rnacentral:lncRNA from 1 species